GACGAACGCUGGCGGCGUGCUUAACACAUGCAAGUCGAACGGAAAGGCCUUUUCGGAGGUACUCGAGUGGCGAACGGGUGAGUAACACGUGGGUGAUCUGCCCUGCACUCUGGGAUAAGCCUGUGAAACUGGGUCUAAUACCGGAUAGGACCGCACUUUAGUGUGUGUGGUGGAAAGUUUUUUCGGUGUAGGAUGAGCCCGCGGCCUAUCAGCUUGUUGGUGGGGUAAUGGCCUACCAAGGCGGCGACGGGUAGCCGGACUGAGGGGUUGGUCGGCCACAUUGGGACUGGGAUACGGCCCAGACUCCUACGGGGGGCAGCAGUGGGGAAUAUUGCACAAUGGGCGCAAGCCUGAUGCAGCGACGCCGCGUGGGGGAUGACGGCCUUCGGGUUGUAAACUCCUUUCGCCAGGGACGAAGCGUUUUGUGACGGUACCUGGAGAAGAAGCACCGGCUAACUACGUG
rnacentral:rRNA from 1 species